rnacentral:sRNA from 1 species
GGACAUUGUCAGGUGGGGA